GGGCAGGCCGGUGAGGUCGGCGACCAUGGUCUGGUAGUUGAGCAGCGACUCGAGGCGGCCCUGGGCGAUCUCCGCCUGGUAAGGCGUGUAUUGCGUGUACCACGCGGGGUUCUCCAUGAGGUUGCGCAGUAUGACGGCGGGGAUGUGGGUGUUGUAGUAGCCCAUCCCGAUGAAGGACUUGUAGGUCUUGUUCAUGGAGGCGAGGUGCGCCAUGUGGUCGAGCAUCUGCGACUCGGUGAAGCCUGCGUCGAACUUGCCGGUGAACUGCAUGGGCGGCGCGCGGAUUGCGGCCGGGACGGUGGCGUCGAUGAGCGCGUCGAGGGUGUUGAAGCCGCACUCGGACGCCAUAACGG
rnacentral:lncRNA from 1 species